rnacentral:rRNA from 1 species
UACGAAGGGGGCUAGCGUUGCUCGGAAUCACUGGGCGUAAAGCGCACGUAGGCGGAUUUCUAAGUCAGGGGUGAAAUCCUGGAGCUCAACUCCAGAACUGCCUUUGAUACUGGGAAUCUUCGAGUCCGGGAGAGGUGAGUGGAACUGCGAGUGUAGAGGUGAAAUUCGUAGAUAUUCGCAAGAACACCAGUGGCGAAGGCGGCUCACUGGCCCGGUACUGACGCUGAGGUGCGAAAGCGUGGGGAGCGAACAGG